rnacentral:rRNA from 1 species
UGCCAGCCGCCGCGGUAAUGCGAACGGCCCGAGCGUUAUCCGGAUUUAUUGGGUUUAAAGGGUGCGUAGGCGGAAUAAUAAGUCAGUGGUGAAAUCCUGCGGCUCAACCGUAGAACUGCCAUUGAUACUGUUAUUCUUGAAUAUAGUUGAGGUAGGCGGAAUGUGUAAUGUAGCGGUGAAAUGCUUAGAUAUUACACAGAACACUGAUUGCGAAGGCAGCUUGCUAAACUAUGAUUGACGCUGAUGCACGAAAGCGUGGGGAGCGAACAGGAUUAGAUA